AACACAUGCAAGUCGGACGGUAGCACAGAGAGCUUGCUCUCGGGUGACGAGUGGCGGACGGGUGAGUAAUGUCUGGGGAUCUGCCCGAUAGAGGGGGAUAACCACUGGAAACGGUGGCUAAUACCGCAUAACGUCGCAAGACCAAAGAGGGGGACCUUCGGGCCUCUCACUAUCGGAUGAACCCAGAUGGGAUUAGCUAGUAGGCGGGGUAAUGGCCCACCUAGGCGACGAUCCCUAGCUGGUCUGAGAGGAUGACCAGCCACACUGGAACUGAGACACGGUCCAGACUCCUACGGGAGGCAGCAGUGGGGAAUAUUGCACAAUGGGCGCAAGCCUGAUGCAGCCAUGCCGCGUGUAUGAAGAAGGCCUUCGGGUUGUAAAGUACUUUCAGCGGGGAGGAAGGCGAUGGGGUUAAUAACCGCGUCGAUUGACGUUACCCGCAGAAGAAGCACCGGCUAACUCCGUGCCAGCAGCCGCGGUAAUACGGAGGGUGCAAGCGUUAAUCGGAAUUACUGGGCGUAAAGCGCACGCAGGCGGUCUGUUAAGUCAGAUGUGAAAUCCCCGGGCUUAACCUGGGAACUGCAUUUGAAACUGACAGGCUUGAGUCUUGUAGAGGGGGGGUAGAAUUCCAGGUGUAGCGGUGAAAUGCGUAGAGAUCUGGAGGAAUACCGGUGGCGAAGGCGGCCCCCUGGACAAAGACUGACGCUCAGGUGCGAAAGCGUGGGGAGCAAACAGGAUUAGAUACCCUGUAGUCCACGCCGUAACGAUGUCGACUUGGAGGUUGUUCCCUUGAGGAGUGGCUUCCGGAGCUAACGCGUUAAGUCGACCGCCUGGGGAGUACGGCCGCAAGGUUAAAACUCAAAUGAAUUGACGGGGGCCCGCACAAGCGGUGGAGCAUGUGGUUUAAUUCGAUGCAACGCGAAGAACCUUACCUACUCUUGACAUCCACGGAAUUUGGCAGAGAUGCCUUAGUGCCUUCGGGAACCGUGAGACAGGUGCUGCAUGGCUGUCGUCAGCUCGUGUUGUGAAAUGUUGGGUUAAGUCCCGCAACGAGCGCAACCCUUAUCCUUUGUUGCCAGCGAUUCGGUCGGGAACUCAAAGGAGACUGCCGGUGAUAAACCGGAGGAAGGUGGGGAUGACGUCAAGUCAUCAUGGCCCUUACGAGUAGGGCUACACACGUGCUACAAUGGCGCAUACAAAGAGAAGCGACCUCGCGAGAGCAAGCGGACCUCACAAAGUGCGUCGUAGUCCGGAUCGGAGUCUGCAACUCGACUCCGUGAAGUCGGAAUCGCUAGUAAUCGUGGAUCAGAAUGCCACGGUGAAUACGUUCCCGGGCCUUGUACACACCGCCCGUCACACCAUGGGAGUGGGUUGCAAAAGAAGUAGGUAGCUUAACCUUCGGGAGGGCGCUUACCACUUUGUGAUUCAUGACUGGGGUGAAGUCGUAACAAGGU
rnacentral:rRNA from 1 species